rnacentral:piRNA from 1 species
UACAAAGUGAUACUAUGCACCAUGUUGC